rnacentral:rRNA from 1 species
AUUGAACGCUGGCGGUAUGCUUAACACAUGCAAGUCGAACGGUAGCAUGAGGGUGCUUGCACUCUUGAUGACGAGUGGCGGACGGGUGAGUAAAGCAUAAGAAUCUACCCAUUAGUUCGGGAUAGCCUGUGGAAACGCAGGGUAAUACCGGAUGUGGUCUAAGGACUAAAGGUGGCUUUUAGGAGCUGUCGCUAUUGGAUGAGCUUAUGUCGGAUUAGCUAGUUGGUGGGGUAAAAGACUACCAAGGCGACGAUCCGUAGCUGUUCUGAGAGGAAGAACAGCCACAUUGGGACUGAGACACGGCCCAGACUCCUACGGGAGGCAGCAGGGGGGAAUAUUGGACAAUGAGGGAGACCUUGAUCCAGCAAUACCGCGUGUGUGAAGAAGGCCUGCGGGUUGUAAAGCACUUUCGUUAGGGAAGAAGGUUUAUAGUUUAAGAGAUAAUAAAUUUGACGUUACCUAAAGAAGAAGCACCGGCUAACUCUGUGCCAGCCGCCGCCGUAA